AUUAGCAAACUAAUCCUUCUUUUGCUGUGUAGGAGCUACGGUGAAAUUUUCUCUUAAAGACGGUGAAUCAUUUACCGCCUUCAUAAAAAUGGUAAAUAAUUAUUUAUUAGGAUUUUUUAGAUUGUUAAGAUUGUAUAUAAUUUGUUCGAAUUUUUAUAUACCUGUUAGAAUUAUAUGAAAAAAUAAAGAAAAGAGAAAGACAGUUAAUAAUUCACCGCUUUUAUAGGAACCUUCAUGAAGGCGAUAAACGAUUUACCGCCUUUAAAAAAAAAAUUUUACCGUAAAUCCUAUAUGGCAAAAUAAGAAUUAGUUUACUAAUUAUUUUUUUUAUUGAAUUAUUUAUUCAAUUAAAAAAUUUUAUUAUAAAAUUAUUUUGAAAAAAAAAAAACUCCCAAAGAGAGAGGGAAAAAGAAAAAGAAAAAAAAAUCUGCCGACAACCAAAUCUGACCCAGGACCACCUCUUAUUGGUGGGGGUGGGUCCCACACGCGCGAGCGUGCCACUCCGUAAUUUUAUGCAUGUACCUUCGAAUGUAAUGAAUUACAAAUAUAUUUUUAUAAAAUUUAAUUUUAAUAUGCUAUUCCGGUAAAAGUCCUGAUGUUUUGAAAUAUAUUUCUGCCAUUAAGAUCCGUUAGAAAAACUUAGUUAAUCAUAGGUAUAAUAGUUAAGCCUAUUUAGUUAAUUAGGUGAAUUGACAUUUUUAUCCUUCUUUAAUUAAUAGUUAGGACUUUUCGAGAGAUAUAUUUGUGAUGGCAAAAAGGUCAUUAAUUUUACUUAUAAAAAAAAUAGUGUUUUAACGGUAACAAAUUAGAGGGACGUAUUUGAAAAUAUUAGGACUUUUGCAGGAACAAUAUAUAAAAAUUGAAUUUUGUAGGGAUAUAUUUGUAAUUUAUUAUAUUUGCAUGGCAUUGUAUACAAUUAAUU
rnacentral:lncRNA from 1 species